rnacentral:tRNA from 1 species
GGCCGCGGGAGGGGCCGGCUGAUGGCUUUCAACGGCGCUUUUACCGCCGGCAGGGGCGGCACGGUCCGCCCGGCGGCCU